UGUUCCAGUUCUUACCUGGGCAGGUGUGGUGGUGGUGAGGUGUGUUCCAGUGGUGAGGUGUGGUGGUGAGGUGUGUUCCAUUGGUGAGGUGUGGUGGUGUUGGUGAGGUGUGUUCCAGUUCUUACCUGGGCAGCUGUGGUGUGUUCCAGUGGUGAGGUGUGGUGGUGAGGUGUGUUCCAGUCCUUACCUGGACAGAUGUGGUGGUGAGGUGUGUUCCAGUGGUGAGGUGUGGUGGUGUUGGUGAGGUGUGUUCCAGUCCUUACCUGGACAGAUGUGGUGGUGGUGAGGUGUGUUCCAGUUCUUACCUGGACAGGUGUGGUGGUGGUGAGGUGUGUUCCAGUCCUUAACUGGGCAGGUGAGGUGUGUUCCAGUUCUUACCUGGACAGGUGUGGUGGUGGUGAGGUGUGUUCCAGUUCUUACCUGGGCAGGUGUGGUGGUGGUGAGGUGUGUUCCAGUCCUUAACUGGGCAGGUGAGGUGUGUUCCAGUUCUUACCUGGGCAGGUGUGGUGGUGGUGAGGUGUGUUCCAGUCCUUAACUGGGCAGGUGAGGUGUGUUCCAGUUCUUACCUGGACAGGUGUGGUGGUGGUGAGGUGUGUUCCAGUCCUUACCUGGACAGAUGUGGUGGUGGUGAGGUGUGUUCCAGUCCUUACCUGGGCAGGUGAGGUGUGUUCCAGUCUUUACCUGGACAGAUGUGGUGGUGGUGAGGUGUGUUCCAGUUCUUACCUGGGCAGGUGUGGUGGUGGUGAGGUGUGUUCCAGUCCUUAACUGGGCAGGUGAGGUGUGUUCCAGUCCUUACCUGGGCAGGUGAGGUGUGUUCCAGUCCUUACCUGGGCAGGUGAGGUGUGUUCCAGUCCUUACCUGGGCAGGUGAGGUGUGUUCCAGUCUUUACCUGGACAGAUGUGGUGGUGGUGAGGUGUGUUCCAGUUCUUACCUGGGCAGGUGUGGUGGUGGUGAGGUGUGUUCCAGUCCUUACCUGGGCAGGUGUGGUGGUGGUGAGGUGUGUUCCAGUCCUUAACUGGGCAGGUGAGGUGUGUUCCAGUCCUUACCUGGGCAGGUGAGGUGUGUUCCAGUCUUUACCUGGACAGAUGUGGUGGUGGUGAGGUGUGUUCCAGUUCUUACCUGGGCAGGUGUGGUGGUGGUGAGGUGUGUUCCAGUCCUUAACUGGGCAGGUGAGGUGUGUUCCAGUCCUUACCUGGGCAGGUGAGGUGUGUUCCAGUCUUUACCUGGGCAGGUGUGGUGGUGGUGAGGUGUGUUCCAGUUCUUACCUGAACAGGUGAGGUGUGUUCCAGUUCUUACCUGGGCAGGUGUGGUGGUGGUGAGGUGUGUUCCAGUCUUUACCUGGGCAGGUGUGGUGGUGGUGAGGUGUGUUCCAGUUCUUACCUGAACAGGUGAGGUGUGUUCCAGUCUUUACCUGGGCAGGUGUGGUGGUGGUGAGGUGUGUUCCAGUUCUUACCUGGGCAGGUGAGGUGUGUUCCAGUCUUUACCUGGGCAGGUGAGGUGUGUUCCAGUCCUUACCUGGGCAGGUGAGGUGUGUUCCAGUCCUUACCUGGGCAGGUGAGGUGUGUUCCAGUCUUUACCUGGACAGAUGUGGUGGUGGUGAGGUGUGUUCCAGUCCUUACCUGGGCAGGUGUGGUGGUGGUGAGGUGUGUUCCAGUCCUUACCUGGGCAGGUGAGGUGUGUUCCAGUCUUUACCUGGACAGAUGUGGUGGUGGUGAGGUGUGUUCCAGUCCUUACCUGGACAGGUGUGGUGGUGGUGAGGUGUGUUCCAGUCCUUACCUGGACAGGUGUGAUGGUGGUGAGGUGUGUUCCAGUUCUUACCUGGGCAGGUGUGGUGGUGGUGAGGUGUGUUCCAGUCCUUACCUGGGCAGGUGAGGUGUGUUCCAGUCUUUACCUGGACAGAUGUGGUGGUGGUGAGGUGUGUUCCAGUUCUUACCUGAGCAGGUGAGGUGUGUUCCAGUCCUUACCUGGGCAGGUGUGGUGGUGGUGAGGUGUGUUCCAGUCUUUACCUGGACAGAUGUGGUGGUGGUGAGGUGUGUUCCAGUUCUUACCUGAGCAGGUGAGGUGUGUUCCAGUCCUUACCUGGGCAGGUGUGGUGGUGGUGAGGUGUGUUCCAGUUCUUACCUGGGCAGGUGUGGUGGUGGUGAGGUGUGUUCCAGUGGUGAGGUGUGGUGGUGAGGUGUGUUCCAUUGGUGAGGUGUGGUGGUGUUGGUGAGGUGUGUUCCAGUUCUUACCUGGGCAGGUGUGGUGUGUUCCAGUGGUGAGGUGUGGUGGUGAGGUGUGUUCCAGUCCUUACCUGGACAGAUGUGGUGGUGAGGUGUGUUGGUGAGGUGUGUUCCAGUCCUUACCUUGACAGAUGUGGUGGUGGUGAGGUGUGUUCCAGUUCUUACCUGAACAGGUGAGGUGUGUUCCAGUCUUUACCUGGGCAGGUGUGGUGGUGGUGAGGUGUGUUCCAGUUCUUACCUGGGCAGGUGAGGUGUGUUCCAGUCUUUACCUGGGCAGGUGAGGUGUGUUCCAGUCCUUACCUUGACAGAUGUGGUGGUGGUGAGGUGUGUUCCAGUUCUUACCUGGACAGGUGUGAUGGUGGUGAGGUGUGAUCCAGUUCUUACCUGGGCAGGUGUGGUGGUGGUGAGGUGUGUUCCAGUCCUUAACUGGGCAGGUGAGGUGUGUUCCAGUCCUUACCUGGGCAGGUGAGGUGUGUUCCAGUCUUUACCUGGACAGAUGUGGUGGUGGUGAGGUGUGUUCCAGUCCUUACCUGGGCAGGUGUGGUGGUGGUGAGGUGUGUUCCAGUCCUUAACUGGGCAGGUGAGGUGUGUUCCAGUCCUUACCUGGGCAGGUGAGGUGUGUUCCAGUCCUUACCUGGGCAGGUGAGGUGUGUUCCAGUCUUUACCUGGACAGAUGUGGUGGUGGUGAGGUGUGUUCCAGUCCUUACCUGAGCAGGUGAGGUGUGUUCCAGUCUUUACCUGGGCAGGUGUGGUGGUGGUGAGGUGUGUUCCAGUCUUUACCUGGGCAGAUGUGGUGGUGGUGUGUGUUCCAGUUCUUACCUGAGCAGGUGAGGUGUGUUCCAGUCUUUACCUGGGCAGGUGUGGUGGUGGUGAGGUGUGUUCCAGUCUUUACCUGGGCAGAUGUGGUGGUGGUGAGGUGUGUUCCAGUUCUUACCUGGGCAGGUGAGGUGUGUUCCAGUCUUUACCUGGGCAGGUGAGGUGUGUUCCAGUCUUUACCUGGACAGAUGUGGUGGUGGUGAGGUGUGUUCCAGUCCUUACCUGGGCAGGUGUGGUGGUGGUGAGGUGUGUUCCAGUCCUUACCUGGGCAGGUGAGGUGUGUUCCAGUCUUUACCUGGACAGAUGUGGUGGUGGUGAGGUGUGUUCCAGUCUUUACCUGGACAGAUGUGGUGGUGGUGAGGUGUGUUCCAGUUCUUACCUGAGCAGGUGAGGUGUGUUCCAGUCCUUACCUGGGCAGGUGUGGUGGUGGUGAGGUGUGUUCCAAUUCUUACCUGGGCAGGUGUGGUGUGUUCCAGUGGUGAGGUGUGGUGGUGAGGUGUGUUCCAGUCCUUACCUGGACAGAUGUGGUGGUGGUGAGGUGUGUUCCAGUUCUUACCUGGACAGGUGUGAUGGUGGUGAGGUGUGAUCCAGUUCUUACCUGGACAGGUGUUGUGGUGGUGAGGUGUGUUCCAGUUCUUACCUGGACAGGUGUGAUGGUGGUGAGGUGUGAUCCAGUUCUUACCUGGGCAGGUGUGGUGGUGGUGAGGUGUGAUCCAGUUCUUACCUGGGCAGGUGUGGUGGUGGUGAGGUGUGUUCCAGUCCUUAACUGGGCAGGUGAGGUGUGUUCCAGUCCUUACCUGGGCAGGUGAGGUGUGUUCCAGUCUUUACCUGGACAGAUGUGGUGGUGGUGAGGUGUGUUCCAGUCCUUAACUGGGCAGGUGAGGUGUGUUCCAGUCCUUAACUGGGCAGGUGAGGUGUGUUCCAGUCCUUACCUGGGCAGGUGAGGUGUGUUCCAGUCUUUACCUGGGCAGGUGAGGUGUGUUCCAGUCCUUACCUGGGCAGGUGAGGUGUGUUCCAGUCCUUACCUGGGCAGGUGAGGUGUGUUCCAGCCUUUACCUGGACAGAUGUGGUGGUGGUGAGGUGUGUUCCAGUUCUUACCUGGACAGGUGUGGUGGUGGUGAGGUGUGUUCCAGUUCUUACCUGGACAGGUGUGGUGGUGGUGAGGUGUGUUCCAGUCCUUACCUGGGCAGGUGAGGUGUGUUCCAGCCUUUACCUGGACAGAUGUGGUGGUGGUGAGGUGUGUU